CAGUCGCCGCGGUAAUACGGAGGGGGCUAGCGUUGUUCGGAAUUACUGGGCGUAAAGCGCACGUAGGCGGCUUGGUAAGUUAGAGGUGAAAGCCUGGAGCUCAACUCCAGAAUUGCCUUUAAGACUGCCGAGCUAGCAGGUGAGAGAGGUAAGUGGAAUUCCGAGUGUAGCAGUGAAAUGCGUAGAGAUCGGAAGGAACAUCUGUGGCGAAGGCGACUAUCUGGGCCAACACUGACACUGAGACACGAAAGCGUGGGGAGCAAACAGGAUUAGAUACCCGGGUAGUCCCUGUCUCUUAUAA
rnacentral:rRNA from 1 species